rnacentral:rRNA from 1 species
ACGUCGUGAGACAGUUCGGUCCCUAUCCGGCGUGGGCGUAGGAAGUUUGAGAGGAGCUGUCCUUAGUACGAGAGGACCGGGAUGGACUGACCGCUGGUGGAUCUGUUGUUGACCAAGAGCAUGGCAGAGUAGCCAAGUCAGGAAAGGAUAAACGCUGAAGGCAUCUAAGCGUGAAGCCAACCUCAAGAUGAGACUUCCCAUUCGAGAGAAGUAAGACCCCUUGAAGACGACGAGGUAGAUAGGGCAGAGGUGGAAGCAUAGUAAUAUGUGGAGCUGACUGUUACUAAUCGGUCGAGGGCUUGACCUG